GUGGUUAUCGGCCGGUUAGGACUUGCGGGGAAGAUGGAGUAUCCCGCGUUGGGCGCCGCGGAGGCCGCGGACAGCGGAGGGGCCCGGCCAUACAACAGCUCGGAGGAGCGGGAGGGCCGGGAACCGGACGGGCUGCGCUUCGACCGUGAGAAGGCGCGCCGCCUGUGGGAAGCAGUGUCCGGGGCCCAACCAGUGGGGAGGGAGGAAGUGGAGCACAUGAUCCAGAAGAACCAGUGUCUCUUCACCAAUACCCAGUGUAAGGUUUGCUGCGCCUUGCUCAUUUCUGAGUCCCAGAAGCUGGCACACUACCAGAGCAAAAAACAUGCCAACAAAGUGAAGAGAUACCUAGCAAUCCAUGGAAUGGAGACAUUAAAGGGGGAAACGAAGAAGCUAGACUCAGAUCAGAAGAGCAGCAGAAGCAAAGACAAGAACCAGUGCUGCCCCAUCUGUAACAUGACCUUUUCCUCCCCUGUCGUGGCCCAGUCGCACUACCUGGGGAAGACCCACGCAAAGAACUUAAAGCUGAAGCAGCAAUCCACUAAGGUGGAAGCUCUGUCGAAACGCCUUACAAACCCUUUCCUUGUGGCCUCCACCUUAGCCCUGCACCAGAAUAGAGAGAUGAUAGACCCAGACAAGUUCUGCAGCCUCUGCCACGCGACUUUCAACGACCCUGUCAUGGCUCAGCAACAUUAUGUGGGCAAGAAACACAGGAAACAGGAGACCAAGCUCAAACUCAUGGCACACUAUGGGCGGCUGGCAGACCCUGCUGUCACUGACUCAUCAGGAUCAGUCCCAUAUGCUGAGGAAUCUGGAAACUUCGGAACCAAGCUCCUCAGAACCCCGCUUCACAAGAUGCUUCUAUUUUGGCCUGCGACUGAUAGGAACAGCAUAGCAUCCAGCUGGCACAACCCAAGCCGGGAAGGGCUACCCCUGCAAGACAUGUAAGAUAGUGCUGAACUCCAUAGAACAGUACCAAGCUCAUGUCAGCGGCUUCAAACACAAGAACCAGUCACCAAAAACAGUGGCAUCACCCCUGAGCCAGAUUCCAGUGCAAAGGCAACCUAUUCAGAAAGACUCAGCCACCUUGGAAGACUAGAGGUGUUUGUGUCUAGCACCCCAGGUUGAACCAGCCAUGAGCCACCUUCCUGUGACUGUGGUCAGCCCUUGGCUCCCUCUCCCUCCUUUCUUACAUCCGGAGAAUAUAUAGGCCUGAGGCAGGAGUGGGCCACAGACAGCCUCUGAUUGGUCCAGACAAAUCCACCCCUGCUCCUUCGCUUAGAACAGGCCCUGUAGUCAGGACAAGGGAAGCACAGAUCUUGAGGUCUCAAGUGGUAGUAUGAAGGAUGGCCUUUCCCCUUCCCCAGCCCCUGUGGGCCAUAUGUCAUGAGGCCCCAGGCCUGUCUUUCCUCUGCAGGUCAGUUUUGAACCAGUCCCUGCAGCUAAAGAGCUGAGCUCUCCCUAGGCUCUAGGCAUGUCCAUUGAAACCUGGAGCUUUCAUACCAGACCUUGGCGUAGGCAAGAAAGGGCAGAUGGAAGUGGCUGCCGCAUGGAAACUAAUGUGGCACCCUGCUUCUCCCAGAAAGUACAGGCUUUUCUGAGCCUGGAACCAGAUGCUGGCCAGUUGUACAGAUUUGUGUCCACUGUGAAAUCUCCUCCUGCAGCAAUGACACAGUCCUGGCAGAGCAUUGCUGCUCCUCCUGCCCCUUCUCCACAGUUCCUGAAUGGUGCUAAGGAUCUGCAGCAGCUGGGAAUAAGAUAGAACUGUCGGAGGCCUCAGUACCCAGUGGGAUCCUGCUCCAAUGGGGUUCUCUCCCCUUCUCCAUCAGAGGUGCUCUGACCCAGGGUCAUGUGGGAAAAUCCCCACAUACAGGUUUCCUUGAUGGUUCUGGGCCGCUAAAGGCAAACUGCCUCAUGCCAGCCACCUCAGAGGCUGGUUGCUGCCCUCGGCCCGCUAGCCCUCCCCCUCGUGCAGCAGACCGCCUGCCUAGGUUGCUGUGGUGCUAGUCCUCCCCCGUCAUCCACCGGGAAGCUCCUGAGUACCGGGGAGCGGGAUGGGCCCCGGGAAAGAAAGGAGAGCUGAUGCAGUGAGGAAGCAUAUUCCCCAGGCCCCGAACCUAGAUUUCUCCAGCUCUGCUGUGUUCUAUGGCCUAGGACUUCACUGGGAGUGGAUUUUUCCUUGUAACUUUCAAACAGGAAUUCUAGGGAGUGGCACCAUCAGAGGUCCCUCCUCACUGGGUCAGAGAGUCCCUAGCUGCUCUCGUGGCCUCGCUCCCCCUCCCUCCACCUGUGAAAUACCUUUACCUUUACGUACCGUGUGUGGGUGGGUGUGCGUUGCUUAUGCUCUGUCUCUUGGUUACUGAAGCAUCUAAAUAAAGAAUUUCUCCCAUGAGCCAGACUGCAACUUAACAGACCUGGGAUUUGGGGCCAUAUUACCAUUGGAUCUAGUAUGUGUGUAUUGACCCCUCACCCCGUUCAGACUCCCAGGGCCCUAAAUACUGAUCUUAGGACUUAGGAUGGAGACAGACAUCCAAAUUGCUUGGCAACCCUGUGUUGACGUUUUUCCAGGUGUGCUAAACUCAAUACCACGUUAUCCGCUCAUCUACCUCCCCCUGUCACAGAGGGCCUCAUGGAGAUCUUUAGAAGGUUUAAGCUGGGAAUCUACCUUGUUUGAGCGGCUCAUUCUGGCUGCUAUGUGGAGAAGGAAUGCAGGAAAGGAGGCAGGGAGGCCAAAAUGGAGGCUGUGUCCAAUAUAGCUCUCUAGGCCAACCCCUUCAAGGCAGAGACCUAGCCUCAUUCCUUUCCACCUUCCUGAUGUCCAAAGUGGUGUGUCAUGAAGUGUGUGUUGAAUGAAUGAACAUGGGUGCAUGAGAAGAGAUGGCCUUUUCCUGCUCGGCUCUUACACAGCAGUAGGUUUGUUCUGUGAGACUUAUAAACCUAGUGAUUCUUGGAAGAACCUUUUCCAUGACGCAGAAGUGAGCUAGGAAAGGAAGGGAGUGUGAUGGCCUCAGGAGCCCUUUGUUUCAGACAGCCAGAUCUGAGGAAGGUGCCCAGGCAGCCUCAGCUCCCAUUCUUCCCUCAGCAAAAUGUUCUUGGGCACCUUCUCUUGGCCAGCUGGAAAGGCCCCACAACAACCCCCGGGGUGGGUUCUCAGCUGUCAGCUUCCAAAGCCCAGACUGCCUCCCAAAGUUCCCCAGAGUCCUACUCCACCUAGGAUGUUAGAAUCAGCCCUAUCUACCAGGCAAGGAAGGAAAGGGCAGAGGGGUGGGUAGGCUGCCAAACUGUGAGCCCUUGGCUUGCGGGACCUCAUAGUCUGGAUUCAGGAGUCCUUGCUAACUGUGUGCUCAGCCCUGUUGGCAUGGGCACACAGGGAUGAACAGUUUCUUGCCCUUGGGGAGUUCACACACUGUUAAAGAUCAUUGUGGUGAUGGUCAAAGGGUUAUAGAGGGCGCUGUGGGAAUGCCCAGGAUGCAGGCACUAACUCAGCCAAGGAUAUGAAAAAGCUGGAAAAGUUGGGAAACCAGCAUUUGAUCUGCAUAACAACCUUUAGAGCUGGGUGAUGAUAUUCCAUUUUAUAGAGAAGGAACAAGGCUCAGAGAGGUGUAGUGAUUUGCCCAAGCUCUUGACACUAAGAAGGGGCAAAAUGGAGAGUGGAAUCCGGUUCACUAGAUUCCUAGUCCAGAACCCUUUCCAAACAAGGACAAGAGUCCUUCCCACGUGACCCCUGGGUCUGCCUCGCCCAUCUCCUGGCAGGGCCAUGGACUCACAGAGCGAGCAGCCACUCAGGGCAGAGGCAGCAGCAGCACCCACAAAACAGAUUGGACAAAGGACCAGCCCUAUCGCCAAGGCGUUAGGUCUGCACGCUCCACCUUGGCGGCCCAGGGUUUCACUGGUUCAGAUCCUGGGUGUGGACAUGGCACCACUCACCAGGCCAUGCUGA